AUCACGGUACUGUUUAGAUGACAUGCUGUUAUACAAUUAUAAUCCCAACCCUUAAUUCAUUGAUAAAAACACCACAAGGAACAGACAUCGUGCAGCGGAGAAGACGACCCUUCUCGAUACCGAUCUGGAGCUAAAGACCAACUGGGAGUAGAGGAAGUUGGGUGGAGAGUGCUGUUAUAUGGGUCUACACAUGCAGCACUUGUGCAGCACUACAGCCCUGCUCGUGCACUGUUGUACUACGACUUCAUUUCAAUUUCAUCUCGGUCACUCACAAAGGCAGUGUUCUCCACAGGGAACAUGGAUAUGUGCCUAUCGUGCUGACGCCUCUCUUUUUAUCAAGAGCUCUGGG